AAGGAGAGGGAGAAUGAUGAAUCUGGGUGAUCACCAAGUAUGACAAUAACGACAAAAAGAUGAUCGUUGGUGAAACAGGUCAAAGAAUUCUGUUUCGGGCUCUCCUCUCACUUGCAGGGAAAUAGAAGGGACCUUGUCUAUGAUGCUCAAGUAUGACACCAAACAAACACAGAUACAAGAAAUGGGGAUACAGCUUUCUAUUCACUAUGAUCCAGGACAUGGAUACAGGUUGAUGACAUGCUUGAUCUCUAUUUCCACGUGUUUUCUUCCUGAAAGUUGCUGUCUACAUCUUGACUAGGUGAGGAACUCACUGUAACCUACAAGCAUCAUGCUUAUUUCCAUGUUUUCCAUAUAAAUGAAUUCAAGUAGAUCAGAAGAAGUGGAAUGAGAAAUUUGAGAGAAUUGCCAUGAGAACGCCAAGGUAUUACAAGGAAGGAUGUUCUUCAGAUCCCAAGAUACAAAUGAGAUGGGUUGUUCACAAGGGAGCCUGCAUCAGAGUCGCUGACAUGGUACAUGGAGAUGGUUGGAGAUGAGUAGCUAUCCAAUACGUAGACCGUUUUAUUCGGUUAUCUGCAAGAACACAUAAGCAUACACCCAAGCCCCGCGAUCCAUCGAAAAUCGGAAUGAAACGAUGACAAAGGAUUUAUUUUCCUGCAUGUUGACAUAUACGGAUAGUCUCUAAGUCUAUUUGAAUGAACAAACUUAUUCUUAAUCUCAAUGUCUAUUAUUAUGCAGACGUUUUCUUUAA